CUGCUCCCCAGUGAAAUAAUCCUGACAGAAAGUCUGCUGUAAUUACUCCUGCAAAUAUCCCAACAAUAAUGGAGGGCGUGUGUUCAAGUCGCAAGUAGAAGAGAAGAUUGUAAAAAUUGAAACAGAUCAGAGAGAAGCAUAAGAUGACAGAGAUCCACUCCUGUAGUCUUUUUCCUGGCGAGUAGAGCUCGGCCAACUCGCGGGCCCCGGCGUGCUGCGCUCCCCAGCGCCGGCUGCCGCUCUCGGGCUCUUCCGAGGCCUCGCCGGCCGGCCCCGCCGCCUCCUCCCGCGGCGGGAGGCUCUCCAUGGCACGGCCGCGCGGCUCCGGGCCCCGGGGCGGCGGCUGCUCCUCCUCUGUACCGAUGGGCGACGGCGAGGGGCGCCCAGGGCCCGCCGAGGCGCCCGGCGGCAGCGCUGCGGCCCGCGGCAGCAUCGGGAAAUGGGG
rnacentral:lncRNA from 1 species